CUUACCACAGUUUCUCCAGUUUACAGUGAGGAUCCUCCAGUCCAGCACAGAGACACUUCACUCCCAAAUCUCUUAUUUUAUUCAGAGACAGAUCCAGUUCUCUCAGGUGUGAGGGGUUUGAUCUCAGAGCUGAAGCCAGAGCAGAACAACCUUCAUCUGUGACGCCACAAUCAAUCAACCUGUAGAGAACAAUGACACAGUGUUAAUUGUAGUUGAAGUGUGUGUAGUUUGUUAUUGACUCUGGUCUCAGAGCAGGAGAGGAGAUAUAAUGACAAGCAUUGCCACAAACUGCUGCUGAUAGAAUGAGAUUUCUGCAUGUUGAUGCUCAAUGCUGCUGUUUGAAACUGUCAUGUGCUUCAGGACUGAACAGACACACAGAGCUGAAUGUGAGAUAUUGUUUCAUAGUGAUAUAAGCACAGAUCUUUUGUUUGGGUUACAUAACCACCGCAAUAAAGAAUGAAGGCCAACCCAGUGUGAAUUAUACAAAAAGACAGAAGAGAAAAAAGUACUAGAUAUACACAAUAUAUACAAUAAAUAUAUGAGGGUGAGUGAGUAAUGUCCUUGGAAGUCCAAUGGGGCUUCUCGGGUCGACAUUAACACACUGACAAAAUUAUAUUCAAAAUUAAAAAUAUUUUUAUACCACUUUUUAAUGUGUGAUUGUGUAAAGGUGAUCACCAGAUACCAACCUUUCGUGAACUUGCUUACACUCGUUCUCAUGGAGGGUUUCU